rnacentral:rRNA from 1 species
GAUGAACGCUGGCGGCGUGCUUAACACAUGCAAGUCGAACGGAAAGGCCAUGAUUUUGUGGGGUGCUCGAGUGGCGAACGGGUGAGUAACACGUGAGUAACCUGCCCUUGACUUUGGGAUAACUUCUGGAAACUGGGGCUAAUACCGGAUAGGAGCUCCUGCUGCAUGGUGUGGGUUGGAAAGUUUCGGCGGUUGUGGAUGGACUCGCGGCUUAUCAGCUUGUUGGGGGGGUAGUGGAUUACCAAGGCUGUGACGGGUAGCCGGCCUGAGAGGGUGACCGGCCACAUUGGGACUGAGAUACGGCCCAGACGCCUACGGGAGGCAGCAGGGGGGAGUAUGGCACAGCGGGGGGGAGCGUGAGGCAGCAACGCCGCGGGCGGGAUGACGUCUUUCGGGGGGUAAACCGCUUUCGCCUGUGACGAAGCGGGAGUGACGGUAAUGGGUAAAGAAGCACCGGCUAACUACGUG